rnacentral:rRNA from 1 species
UACAGAGGUCCCAAGCGUUGUUCGGAUUCAUUGGGCGUAAAGGGUGCGUAGGUGGCGCCGUAAGUGGGGUGUGAAAUUUCGGAGCUUAACUCCGAAACUGCAUUCCAUACUGCGGUGCUUGAGGACUGGAGAGGAGACUGGAAUUUACGGUGUAGCAGUGAAAUGCGUAGAGAUCGUAAGGAAGACCAGUGGCGAAGGCGGGUCUCUGGAACGCAACUGACGCUGAGACGCGAAAGCGUGGGGAGCAAACAGG